AUUAAUUCGAUGCAACGCGAAAACCUUACCUACCCUUGACAUGUCCGGAAUCCCGAAGAGAUUUGGGAGUGCUCGCAAGAGAGCCGGAACACAGGUGCUGCAUGGCUGUCGUCAGCUCGUGUCGUGAGAUGUUGGGUUAAGUCCCGCAACGAGCGCAACCCUUGUCAUUAGUUGCCAUCAUUUGGUUGGGCACUCUAAUGAGACUGCCGGUGACAAACCGGAGGAAGGUGGGGAUGACGUCAAGUCCUCAUGGCCCUUAUGGGUAGGGCUUCACACGUCAUACAAUGGUCGGUACAGAGGGUUGCCAACCCGCGAGGGGGAGCUAAUCCCACAAAGCCGAUCGUAGUCCGGAUCGCAGUCUGCAACUCGACUGCGUGAAGUCGGAAUCGCUAGUAAUCGUGGAUCAGCAUACUGCGGUGAAUACGUUCCCGGGUCUU
rnacentral:rRNA from 1 species